GACGAACGCUGGCGGCGUGCCUAAUACAUGCAAGUAGAACGCUGAAGGAGGAGCUUGCUUCUCUGGAUGAGUUGCGAACGGGUGAGUAACGCGUAGGUAACCUGCCUGGUAGCGGGGGAUAACUAUUGGAAACGAUAGCUAAUACCGCAUAAGAGUAGAUGUUGCAUGACAUUUGCUUAAAAGGUGCACUUGCAUCACUACCAGAUGGACCUGCGUUGUAUUAGCUAGUUGGUGGGGUAACGGCUCACCAAGGCGACGAUACAUAGCCGACCUGAGAGGGGGAUCGGCCGAACUGGGACUGAGACACGGCCCAGACUCCUACGGGAGGCAGCAGUAGGGAAUCUUCGGCAAGGGACGGAAGUCUGACCGAGCAACGCCGCGUGAGUGAAGAAGGUUUUCGGAUCGUAAAGCUCUGUUGUAAGAGAAGAACGAGGGUGAGAGUGGAAAGUUCACACUGUGACGGUAGCUUACCAGAAAGGGACGGCUAACUACGUG
rnacentral:rRNA from 1 species